ACCGAGCGGUCGGCGCGCAGCAGCCUCGGCAAGAGCGCGCGGCUGCGUGGCGAGUCCCAGAGGCCCAGCAGCUGCGGGGGGGGGGGGCGGGGCGCCAUCACCAUCCGCCCGAGCUCCCCACCCAACCCUCUGGUCCCCCACACACACACCCAGACCGCCUAGCCAGGACCUCCCGUGUCCCCGGCCUUCCAGCGAUGGUCGACCAAGCCUUCGGGAGGCUCUGGGGUGGCAUCCGAAACCCACCUCCUCGGGGAUCUGCAGAAAGGAAAAUGCAGGGGGUGGGUGCAAUGUGCAGACCCCCCUCCCUGGCCCCCCACACUCCUCACCCCUCCUUCUUUCUGGACUCUUAAUAUUUCUCCACCCUGAUCUCAGCCCUAGGUCCCCUCGGACCCCUUCCCCAACGCCUUCCUCCCACCUGUGCCCUCAUCCCUUCUCUGUCCCUUUGGUCACCUCCUGCCCUCUAUCCUUGUCCCUGGAUCCCUCUCUCCAGUUCUCUCAGCAGCGGCGCUCCCCUCUGGACCCCCAGCACCCUCCUUCCCGAUACGACGCUCCUGUGACCCUCUGCCCCUCCAGACCUCAGCCUGGCCUGGGCCUCUCACCUGGAACACGUGGAAGCCCACAGUGAGGCUCCAGCAGUGUCAGCCGGAACUGGGGGUUGAUCCAGAAGGUUUCUGACAGAAGAGAAGGCGGUGGGGUCACCAGCCUGCCCUGGCCCCUACCCCGUCUUACUUCCCAGGAGCCCCCGGGCCUCACCAGCACUGGGCUGGCUCCCGCCGGAGUUGAAACCUCUCACCCAGCGACCCUGGAAGGUGUGGAUGUGCCAGCCUCCGCCCGCAGGGCUGGGGCCCAGCACCUCAGGGCUCAGCGAACAGAUCUGGACCGUGUUGAAGUGCUUGAGGAAGUCCUGAAGCUCCAUCCUGGACAGCACCGACCAUGAGAGAUGCCCCACCACCCCAGAUUCCAGCUUGAGGGACCCCAGAAGUGGUCCCCCAGCACUAAGCUCCCAGUUCCUUAAAUACUACCAACUAACCUCCAAUCUCCUGAAGCCCUGGGGCCUUGCCAAGGCAUCCAAGUCCCCACAAAUGCCCACGUCUGGGGAUAUUCACAAACUCCUCUCAAACAUCUUCAGAUUAACUUUAGAAAACCCCCAAGUAGGGCCAGGAAGAUGGCCGUGAGGAUGGAAGCUAUUGUUGCCUGAUGUUGUAGGAUAUUAUUUUAACUGUGUAAA